rnacentral:sRNA from 1 species
UUGUGGGACACACAAAGUGACCGAAAACAUCAAAACAUUCUCGGUGUCUGGUUGUCUCUAU